AUACGUAGGGGGCGAGCGUUGUCCGGAAUGAUUGGGCGUAAAGGGCGCGUAGGCGGCCCGGUAAGUCUGGAGUGAAAGUCCUGUUUUUAAGAUGGGAAUUGCUUUGGAUACUGCCGCGCUUGAGUGCAGGAGAGGUUAUCGGAAUUCCCGGUGUAGCGGUGAAAUGCGUAGAGAUCGGGAGGAACACCAGUGGCGAAGGCGGGUAACUGGACUGCAACUGACGCUGAGGCGCGAAAGUGUGGGGAGCAAACAGGAUUAGAUACCCUGGUAGUCCACACUGUAAACGAUGAAUGCUAGGUGUAAGAGGUAUCGACCCCUUUUGUGCCGGAGUCAACACAAUAAGCAUUCCGCCUGGGGAGUACGGCCGCAAGGUUGAAACUCAAAUGAAUUGACGGGG
rnacentral:rRNA from 1 species